rnacentral:lncRNA from 1 species
ACAUAACGCACGCGUACAGAAGGCAAUUGAGGAUCGGCGAUUGUAAUUGGAGAGAGUACUUUUGCAGCUAGACUUUUUGCAUACUGCUUACUGGAUUUUAAGUUGAAAUGAAGGAGUUAUUGGAUUUUGAAGUUAGUGCAUGCAAUCUAAGGAUAGUAAGUGAUCCAAUUUACUAGUGGUUGUGUCUUGAGCCAUAUCUUGAGCAAUUUGACAAGGUUUUGGC